UAGGGAAUAUUGCAUAAUGGGCGAAAGCCCGAUGCAGCAACGCCGCGUGUGCGAAGAAGGCCUUCGGGUCGUAAAGCACUUUUCGAGAGGAUGAGGAAGGACAGUACUCUCGGAAUAAGCCUCGGCUAACUACGUGCCAGCAGCCGCGGUAAAACGUAGGAGGCGAGCGUUAUCCGGAUUUACUGGGCGUAAAGCGCGUGUAGGCGGUUUGGCAAGUUGGAUGUGAAAGCUCCCGGCUUAACUGGGAGAGGUCGUUCAAUACUGCCAGACUAGAGGACAGUAGAGGAAGGUGGAAUUCCGGGUGUAGUGGUGAAAUGCGUAGAUAUCCGGAGGAACACCAGUGGCGAAAGCGGCCUUCUGGACUGUAUCAGACGCUCAGACGCGAAAGCUAAGGGAGCAA
rnacentral:rRNA from 1 species